AGGUUUGACCCCCACUCUUCUAUAUCUAUCUCUGUGCACCUGUGUAUUACGGCUGAAAGCUCCAAUUGUGGUUUAGUUUGUAGCUUAUUGGUGUUUUAAUGCUAAAUAAUGUUGUGAAUUUUAGGUUGAUUGGAUAUUUAAAAUGAUUAUAGUAUUUUUGGAAGUGGAUAAGCGGAGUUUGUGUUGUGGACGAUAAAGGUUUGCUUUUUAUUCUUGUAGGAUUCAAAUCGUAUUGAAACCUAGCACAGAAGAUUGCGAUGGGAUAUGGAAAUCAUGAUCUAGUGUAUCUCAUAUUUUCAUUAUUGUUAUGCUUGUAUCUUCUACUAUUUGAUAUCUGGAAUUUCACCCAGUAUAGUGCUGCUAAAUUUAGGAAUGAAGAGAGAGGAGGUUAUUUGAAAACC